GAUGAACGCUGGCGGCGUGCCUAAUACAUGCAAGUCGAGCGAACGGACGAGAAGCUUGCUUCUCUGAUGUUAGCGGCGGACGGGUGAGUAACACGUGGAUAACCUACCUAUAAGACUGGGAUAACUUCGGGAAACCGGAGCUAAUACCGGAUAAUAUUUUGAACCGCAUGGUUCAAAAGUGAAUGACGGUCUUGCUGUCACUUAUAGAUGGAUCCGCGCUGCAUUAGAUAGUUGGUAAGGUAACGGCUUACCAAGGCAACGAUGCAUAGCCGACCUGAGAGGGUGAUCGGCCACACGGGAACUGAGACACGGUCCAGACUCCUACGGGAGGCAGCAGUAGGGAAUCUUCCGCAAUGGGCGAAAGCCUGACGGAGCAACGCCGCGUGAGUGAUGAAGGUCUUCGGAUCGUAAAACUCUGUUAUUAGGGAAGAACAUAUGUGUAAGUAACUGUGCACAUCUUGACGGUACCUAAUCAGAAAGCCACGGCUAACUACGUG
rnacentral:rRNA from 1 species